CUUCCUCAUUCCCACUGUUCCCCUUUGUGCAGCACCGGGCCAGCAGAGGAAGAUCUCGGAUUUCUUUGGGAUCCUGAAGUCGCCGCAAGCAGGAGGCGCCGGGAUGCCGAGCCGCGGGAUCAAGGAGGAGCCCCUGGAUCCCUUUUCCCCUGGAGCUCCUGCUUCCUUCAGCCAGCCCUGCCCUUCCCUGCCUCCUCCCAGGGCCCAUUCCAGGAAAAGAGCAAUUCCCAAAGCCGAGCAGGAGCUGUGGGAGGAACCCGAGGAGAAGCUCCCGGAGCUCGGUGGGAUCCAGCAGGAAUGGGAGGAGCUGGAGUUGUGGAUCUGUACCAGAACCUGAGCCUGGUGUGUCGCUGCUGGAGGGAGAUAAUCCGGGAUCCGCGGGUAAGGAACGUUCUGGGAUCAUCCCAUGGGAUCAUCCAUCCUUUGUUUCCCUUUGCUCCUUUAAAUCCCAUCAUUCUUCCCAUGGAUCAUCCAUGCCCUGCCUGCCUCCUUGUUCCUUUAAAUCCCAUCAUUCUUCCCCAAAUCCAGGAAUUUUUUGAUGUUUUGCCAUUUUUCUUUGGUCUUCUGGACCAAAAGAUCCAAGAUCCAUGAGUAAGGAAUGCCUUGGGAUGAUCCCAUGGGAUCGUCCAUUCUUCCCUUUUUUCCUAUAAAUCCCAUCAUUCUUCCCACAAUCCAGGAAUUUUUCGAUUUCUUGCCAUUUUUCUUUGGUCUUCUGGACCAAAAGAUCCAAGAUCCAUGGGUAAGAAAUACUCUGGGAUUAUCCUAUGGGAUCAUCCACGUCUUCUUUUAUUCCUUUAGAUCCCAUAAUUCUUCCCAAAAUCUGUGAAUUUUUAGGUCUCCUGCCAUUUUUUUUGACCAAAAGUUGCUGCCCUAUAUCCAAAAUCUGGGAUCCACAAGUAAGGAACUCUCUGGGAUCAUCCCAUGGAUCAUUCAUGUUUCCCUUUGUUCCUGUAAAUCCCAUUAUUCUUCACAAAAUCCAUGAAUUUUUAGGUCUUCUGCCAUUUUUCCAUUUUUUCUUUGGUCUUCUUGAGCAAAAGUUGUUGCCCUAUAUCUGAGAUCUGUGGGUAAGGAAUGCUCUGGGAUCAUCCCAUGGGAUCAUCCAUCCUUUGCUUCCCUUUGUUCCUUUAAAUCCCAUCAUUUUUCCCCAAAUCCAGGAAUUUUUAGGUUUCCUGCCGUUUUUUUUUUAACCAAAAGUUGAUGUCGUAUAUCCAAAAUCUGAGAUCCACAGGUAAAGAACUCUCUGGGAUUAUCCCAUGGGAUCAUCCAUGCUCUGUCUGCCUCCUUGUUCCUUUAAAUCCCAUCAUUCUU
rnacentral:lncRNA from 1 species